UUUAGGUACAUGGGUGGGAGGGAGAGCCUCAGACCAUGGGUGGAUUUGGUUUGAUAUGCAUUGCAGGUUCAUUAUAUCAGAGGGUGGAGAAUACAGACCUUGAAGCCACACACAGCUGGGUUCCAGUCCCAGCUUUGCUGAAGAUACAGCACUCAACAUCUGUGAGCCUUAUCUUUAAAAUGGGUAUGUCAUACCUGUAUCUCCCAGAAAGGUGAAAUUAAACAAUAAUGCACAAUACUUGGCACAUAAUAAUCAUUAUUCCUUCCUCUUACCCUUCUCAAUUUUUCCUAUUACAGGAAAUUGUUCCACAAAAGGCUCCGACCUCUAGAAAAAUGCUCCUUCUCUCCACUCUGCCCACCGCCACCCACCCAGGGCAAAAGAAACCUAAAAGGGACUGUACACGGGAAAUACAAGUGAAGGCAAGGAAAGAGAACUGUACAAGGUAAGUACAGUUCGUUUUAGGUUUAUUUUGCCCUGGAAAUUCAUGGUCAAGUUAUCAAACACAUCCAGAUUCUCUGGGGAGACUUAUGAGCAUAGACAUAAUGAAAAUAAACUCACACCGACAUAGUCUAGAAGCCUCUAUACUAGGAGCUAUAAUAUGAGGCAUUGAUUUCCACCCAUAAAUGUUGAUAGUUGGCAAAGCUAGUAGUAGUGGUAACUAACACAUGCUGAGCGGGGUAUUUAAAUGUGUUAGUAACUUUUGACUUGAUUCUCACCACAACUCUGUGAGGUGGGUACUGUUUUAUUCUUAAUUUUAAAGCUGAAGAAAUAGUAGUUUGGUGAGAAUAAGCAAUUUGUACAAAAUCGCCAAGGUGGUUUAAGUAGCGGGCCAGGAUCCAAACUGAGGUCUCUCUGGCCCCUGGGCCUGUGCUUUCUCCAUCCUCAGAUACGGCUUUCCAAAAUCUGAAGGCCUCUCCAUCCUGAGAUAUGGCCUUCAGAUUUUUGAAUCCUCUGCAUGUAACCUGAAAUCCCAGGUUCUUGCUUAGUGACUGAUUUGGGUGCUUAAGGCCCUAAUAUUUUACCAUUAACUCUGGCUGUAGGACCUCAUUGGCACAAAGUUCCUGAAACUAUCCAAUUUUCAGGCUGUUGGUGUGAAUUUCCCUGGAGAGUUACCUAGUGGUGAGUCAGUCCCUCCAGCCUAUGUCUGGGUAGCUUUCAGCAAAGCCUCUGACAUUUGGCAUUUUUCCUGGCAGGCAGCCAAGUGACUGAGGUUUUUUUUGUUUUUUUUUUUUUUCUGUUUCACUUUCACCCUUAACCGUUUUCCUCUCAAACAAAAAGGAACUCAAGGAUUUUACCAGUGCAUUUUAAAAAGUUGUUUGUGAGGGAAAGUUUGUAGCUGGAGGGAAAGGAGGGAAAAAGAUGAUUGAGAGAAAGGUGGAAACAGGCUCUUGAAAUUGUUCACAGAAUUUAGAACGCUCUUGAGCUAGAAAGGUUCUGUCUAAUUUAGAAAGCUACUUACAUUCCUCAAAAGAGAGGUGUUCUCUAAGUAUAAAUAUAUGAUCAGACACUCUGCAGGAGCUGUGGAGAAUCCCUAAAGUUAUUGUUUGUGUUGUCCCCAACAUUUCCUUUUAGCAAACAUUUACAAUGGCCUUGUCUUUCCUAAUGUUGAAUUCCCAACCUUGUGGAAAAGUAGCAGAAGUGGUUUAAAUUUGGAUACUUUCUCUUCCUGCUUCUACUCAUUUGGAAAAGGUGCUGGCAGCUAUUCAUAAACCACUGACAUGAUCAUUUGGAUCUGGUGCCGCUUCCCAAGGGGAAAAACUUUUUCCUCCUUAUUUUUUGAGCACUUAACUGCAUGCCCUGCCCUGUUUUAAGUGUUGUGCAUGUGUUAACUCAUUGAAUCCUCAGUCCUAAGAGAUCCCUAAUAACUAUAUUCCCAUUCAACAGUUAAGAAAACUGAGGCUUAUAGAGGCUAAGAAAUGUGCCCUAGGUCCCAUGGCUAUGAAGUAGGGUGAUGGUUUGAUGGGAGAGCCUUUAUUCUAUAGCAACACAUAGAAACAGGUUCAUACAGCCCCCAGAUCAAAGCCAGGCUCUGCCACCUCCCAGAAUGAUCAGCCAACUCACAUUUUCAACCAUUGCCAAGAAUAUCCAUGACAUUACUCCUAUGAGAAAUGAAGUGCAUUCCAGUUCCUAAUACAUCUUGUUUCCUCCUUCCAUAAAUGGUCUCAGGACUUCUACUUCUGUCAAAGUAGGAAAGGAUUCUAUUUAUUCAUUUCUUCAUUUGACAAGCACUUACAGACACACAGGCAAUAGGGCAUAAUGUUAGGAGAGCAGACACUGGAACCAGACUGCUUCCUUUGAAUCGUGGUUUUGCCAAUUACUUGCUCAAGUUCAUACAGCUUGUUGUUUAACCUUUCUGUGCCUCAGAUCCCAUGCAUAACAUGGAUUAAUGAUGACACUAACCUCACAUAGGUAUUAUUGUUUUAAAUGAGUUAAUCCAUAGGAAACACUUAAAACACUGCCUAGCACAUAGUAAAUGUUCAAUAAGCAUGAGGUAUCAUCAAACAGAUAUUUAGGAAAUAAAAGUAUACUAAGCAUGGGGAAACAAAAGGACUCAUAAUCCAGUAGGAAGUACUGGAUAUUCAUUCCUUCAAUAGAUACUUUUAUGUGCUAAGAACUAGGCCCUAGGAGUAUAACAGCUAAACAAAACACCCCACUACAAAUAUGUACAAACUACUAGAAGAGGUAAAUAGAGGAACAAACAAUGACAACGUAGUGUGAUAAAUUCUGCAACUAGGAUGGAAGUGGGUUAUGUCAGAGUAUUUGUGGGCUGUGAGGUUUAGGAAUCAGGAGACAUCUCAGAGGAAGGGAGCCCAAGGUAAGACCUGAUGGAUGAGAAGAAAUUUGCCACAUGAAUUACUAGAACAGAAUGUGAAUUAUAAUGUAUGUAAAGGGCAUGGAGCAUUUGCCUGUGCACGGGGCACAUGCAGAAGCAGGAAGAGGUAGAGCAAGUAGUCCUGUAUGGCUUGAGGGUUAGGGUGCAUGGGGCAAGGGUAGGAAGAGAAUGAGGAGGCUGGAAAGAAAAUGGCACCAGCUUGUCAAAGGCCUGCGGUGCUUUGUAGAGGAUUUUGGACUUGAUCCUUAUGUAAUGGGAGCCAUGGAAUGCUUCACCUCUAGCAAAGAUGUGAUCAGAUAAUCCAGACCAGAGGAAUGCUGGAGUCAGAGCUCCAGUUACAGUAACCCCUGGUGAGAAAUAAAGGCCUGCAGUGGUUUGCUGGCCAUUGGAAUGGAGAAGUUUAAGAGAUAAGAGAAAGAAGAAUUAUUAGAAUGUGAUGACUGAUUAGACCAGAGUGGAAGCACAGUAGUAUCUUACACUGCUUUCACAGGUUGUAUCCUUCUAGCCACUAUGGGUACUUUGUUGGAAAAGUUUGAGAAGUACUGAGAGCAUAAUGGAAAACACAUGAGUUUUUGGAGCUCCUUGCAAUUGAAUUCAAAUCCAGUCUCUACUAUUUGUUGGUUUCAGGAUUAGUAUGGCUAAUAAACUUUCAUCAUAGUUUGUUAGGAUUAGUAAUAUAUUAAUAACACGUGUAGACUGCCUAGUAUAGUGCCUAGCACAUAGUAAACAAUUAGUACGUGAUAGUUGUAAGUGUUGUGGGAUUAGAAAAUAGAAAAUGGACCAGGCGUGGUGGCUCACGCCUCUAAUCCUAGUAUUUCAGGAGGCUGAGGCGGGUGGAUUACUUAAGGCCAGGAGUUCAAGAGCCACCUGGCCAACAUGGCAAAACCCUGUCUCUACUAAAAAUACUAAAAUUAGCCAGGCAUGGUGACAGGUGCCUGUAAUCCCAGCUACUUGGGAGGCUGAGGCAUGAGAAUCGCUUGAACCUGGGAGGCGUAGGUUGCAGUGAGCCAAGAUCGUGCCACUGCACUCCAGCCUGGGGGAAAGAGCGAGAUUCUGUCUCAAAAAAAAAAAAAAAAAAAAAAAGAAAAGAAAAUAGAACAUGGUUAGAGGUUAAUACUAUACAGCAGUGGUUCUUAGUCUUUUGAAUGUCUUACACGCUUUUAUUUAAGAAAAAAAAAACCUUUGAGAUAUAAUUCACAUACCAUAUAAUUUACCCACUUAAACUUUACAAUUCAACACUUUUUAAUAUAUUCACAAUGUUGUGCAACCAUCACUACAAUAUAAUUUUAGAACAUUUUCAUCAACCCUAAAAGAAACCAUUAGCAAUCACUAGCUGUUCUUCCUCAUGGUCCCUCCACAGCCCUAGAUAACCCCUAUCUACUUUCUGUCUCUGUUGAUUUGCUCUUAGAUCCUUUUCAUGAUGAAA
rnacentral:lncRNA from 1 species